CAAUGUUUUUGAUCAAAUCAUUUGAUUUUUUCCUACAGAAUUGUUUGAGCUCCUUAUAUAUUCUGGCUAUGAAUCCCUCAUCAGAUGGGGAAGAAACUGAGUCUUGAAGAGAUUGUGUAACUUUGCAGUGAAUGCAAGCACUGGUAAUUACAAAGUGUGAAUUAAAAACCCAAAAUGCUGCCUGCUAGCAGAAUGGUAAAUUAUUUAACCUCUGUAAGCCUAUGUUUCCUUACUUGUAAAACAAAUAAAACAGUUCCUGUUUUUCUGCGAA